rnacentral:lncRNA from 1 species
GGCCUGGAGUGGGCGGGGCCUGGGGGCCGGGCCGGGGCGCCCGAUGGGGGCGUGCACACUCCGCGGGGACACGCGCUCUGGGCCGCGGCAACUCGCUCCAAGUUCCCUCCCUCGCGCUCCGCGAAGCCCGCCCGAGCCCGCCCGAGCCCUCCCCUCCCCUCCUCUCCCCUCGGCGCGGACCUAGCCCUCCGCGGCCUCGCGCCCCGCGCCCCCGGCCCGCCGGCUCGGCUCCCCCCGGCCCCGCGGGGCGGCGCGAGGACUCGGCGGCGGCCCCCUCCCCGCGGGCCCGGGAGCCGACGCCGGCUGGGGCCGCACCUCCGGGACCGGGCAGCGCGGCCGAGAAAUCGCCGGCUGGACAUCCAGAGCACCUAGCCUGUUUUUUUCUGCAUCUUGAAUUGAGCAUUAACAGGACUCUUGAAGAGUACAUCCUGCAGAGAGUAGCUUAA